CUUCUAUAGCAGAGAAAUCAAGGUAGAUAUUGAUAAAUUAUUACACCAAAAAUAUAAGAUUAAUACUCCAUUUAUUCAUUCAUUUUAAAAAGUAUUUUAAGUGUCUGUUAUGAUCCAGGGCGUAUCCUGGAUUCUAGGAACACGAGGAUGAGAAGGCCAGGCAAGGUGUCUGCCUCCCUGGUAUAUUUCAUUCUAUGGAGGAAGGGGGAAGGGAGAAGGCAGAGUUAGGCGGACCAUAAACAAAUAAAACGAGUUUAAAAAAUUCAUAGAAAGAUAUUGUGGUUUGUGGUAAAUGUGAAGGAAAAAGACUGAGUGGUAUGAUGGAAAAUAAGGGGAGCUAGACUACCUUAGGCAGGGUAAGGGGAGGCCUCUUCGAGGAGGAUGAUUUGAAAUAUGAAGCUGCUUUGUUCAGAUUCAAAUAGGAAAGAGUCAAACUUAUAAAAAGUCAGAUAGAAUACACUCUAGACAGAGGAAACAGUAAGUGUAAAGUCCUGGAAAUAAUUAUUCAAGGAAAAGAAAUCAGUCCCCUAUAGCUAGAGCAGAGUAAGUGAAGCAGAGAUUAGCAAGACAAAUGAUUUGGGGAGACAGACAAAGGACUAUGUAAGCCAUAGCAAGGAACUUGAAUUUUAUUCCACAUGAAAUUGGGAGGUAUUAAAGGGCCUUAAGUAUUAAAGUGAAGUAAUCUGAACUAUAUUUUAAAAGAUUCGUCUGGCUGCUUGAUAGCAAAUGGAAUAUCGAAGGGCAGGAAUGGAAGCACUAAGCAAGACAAACUAGACAGCCAUUACUGUGGUCCAGGCAAGAGAUGAUGUGGUGGUGACAGUGAAAAUUAAGACAAGUAACAGAUUUGAGAUUCUUUAAGGUGGAAAAGACAGAGAUUACUUAUGGAUAGAAUGAUAUGGAGUUUUGAAUUUCUUGCUUGAGGAAUUGGCUAGAUGAUAUUAACAUUUAUUGAAAUGCAGAAACCUGGGAGAGGACAAGGUUAUUUAUUUUUUGAUAGAUUGUUUAUUAUCACUGUUGUUGUUUUAUGAAUGGAAAGAGAACAGAAAUCAAGAAGUCCAUUUUUUUCUCAUGAAAUGUGAGAUAUCAAUAAGACCUAGCUCUCCAAUAAGGAACUGGAUAUAUGAUUCUGACGUUCAGAUGAGAGGUUAGGGCUAUAGAUAAAUAUUUGGGAGUAAUCAGCAUAAAGAUAUUACUGAAAACUGGGGUUGCCCAAACAUCAUUUAUAGAGAAAACAGAGCAAGAGCUAAUCAUCAGGAGAAGAAGUAGAAGCCGACCAAUCGUGCCGAGAAACAGUGGUCAGUCAGAUCAAGAAGUGGUGUCAAAGGAUAUGUAUAUUUUUUUAAAAAAGUAAAAACUGUAGUUCUCAUUUAGACACAAUAUGAAUAUGUGUCAAAACUCUAUUUAACUCAUUAAUUGAGGGAAGCAGACAGAUGUCGUAAUCAAUUCAAAGAAGAAGUCCAAGGACCACAAGUUUAGAUGGAGUAAAGGAAUGAUGAAAUAAAUGUACAAAUGGACCCCAAACUGGCUUUUUCAGAAGACGGGAGGACGGUGAGAAUUGUUUCCCCUACCAGAUAGAACUUAUUUUCAUGUCUAUAGGCAAGAAUUAUUUCCAUUGCUUUCAGUUAUUUAUAAUUCCCAGUUGUAAAAUGGCUCAAAGGCAAACCUCACAGGCCCCAUAGAAUCAGAUAACCCCAGAGGCUCCAGUAUGGCAUUAAAAGGAUAUCCAGUGGUCUCUUUUGCUUAUUGCAAAGUCAAACUAUUUCUUACAUGGAUAACCAAGAGAAUAUGGUGUCCUGGAAGCCAAGGAAAAAAAUGUUUCAGUACAAAGUGAGCAGUCAUCUGUGUUGAAUACUGCUAAGAAAUACAGGAAAAUGAAAACAGAGAAGUAUCCUUUGGAUCUGAUAACACGGAAGACUUGAAAUGACAAUUUUAGAGGGAAUGGAGAUGGAAGCCAGACCACUGGAGAGUGAAUGAAAAGGUAGGAAGUGAAGACUGGAAAAUGUAAACAACUCUUGAGAGGUUGGGUUUUUUGUUGUUACUGUUGUUUGUUUUAUCCUUCUGAGGAAAACAUUGAAAUGUGGUGGAAUCUGGAAGCAGACUGUGACGAGAGAAAUUUUUUGCUUUUUCAAUUACAAGGAAAGCCCUUGGAUUAUGUUUGAUACUCUAAAUGCUGUUAAGACAAUCCAAGAAAGAGGGAAAAACUGCUAAAGUAGAAGCGAGAGGAGCAUGAAUACAGAUCAAAAGGCAUGCAAAAGCAAAAUUAGUAAGAGCCACUGUAAAGCAGAAGGGUAUAUGUAACAUGAAGAGAGAC
rnacentral:lncRNA from 1 species